ACGUGCUGGAAACGAUGAGUGCAUGAUAAUAUGUAGAAUCCAUUAGAUAUACAUAAGACUGUUUUUGGUUGCUGUAUGUAUGCUCUAUCAAUAUUAAUGUUUUGCAUUUGUAGUUAGGACUAACUGUUUUAAGAUUGUGAUUAUUAUUAUUCUGCACCUGUUCUCUAUUUUUUUCCAUAACACGAGUUUUCAUCUUCCGAUUAGAAAUAAAAAAUAUACUAUACAUAUAAGCCCAAAAAACCUGAUAUUACAGGAGACAAAAAAUUUUUGCAAAAUCUAGUGAACUACCUAUAUUAGAAAAAAACGGAGCCGUAAAUAUUAUGGAUAAUGCUAACAAUGACAUCAAAAGUCUAAAAUUAAAUAUUUUGGACUGGUGCAUUUUUCAUAUUAGGCCGACGAUAAGCAGUUCAUAUUAAUGAUCAGUGGCAAAUUAAUGAAAUUAACUGAAAGUAUUAACUUAUUUGCACGUGACAAGUGACACAUUAUUUGGCAUGAGUAUUUUGAGUAAUAAUCAUAAUCUAGGUAGAGAUUUUAUCGAUAGAAAUAAUCAGAUUGCAAUAAGAUUGUGAAUUUACGAAAAACUAGAGCAAUACAAAUUCAAAUCAACAAGUGGUGAUCCACGGAUCAUGGAUUACGCAAAAUAAGACGCGACGACCUGAUAAGAUUUUUUUUUGUAUCUAGGUUAUUAAAAACUUUUUUGGCAAGUCACUUAACAUCGGAAAAAGAAUUUCGUUGCGAAGCUAAAAAACGCACUUGACCAAGCACACAAAGACUAGGAGAACCAAAAGCGAAUGUGGAACUGUCUGUCACUAAGAACACUAACUUGCAAUUGUUCAUAGAUUUACUUUAUUUUUUUUUAAUGCAACUUUCUGCAAUAUAAUAAAGUCUACUGAAAAUAAAAUGCCAAUAUGUAUAGAAAUUGUUGACAAUAGCUAAAAUACUGUAGCCGAUAAUUAAGAUAUUUAAAUUGGAAUUGUUAUGUCCCCUGCGCAAGACAAAUAUAAAAGAAAUAUAGAGAUAAAAAAUGAGAAUGAACAUCGAAAAAAAUCAAUGUAUGGAACUAGAACUUAAGAAAAUUGUAAAGGUAGCACAAGAUGUAACAGGUAGGCUGACCGAAUGUAAUUUAGAAGAGGAAACCAAAACACUUCAAAAUGUUGCCACAAAAUCAAUAUUUUAUUUCACUUUCCUACGCAUGAUCGUAAAUGCGCAUGCGCAAAGAUUAGAUUGUUAUUGACCCCUUAUAAUGCUUCAUUGUAUAAAAUUUCAAUAAAAAAAUUAAAAAAGGUAAAAAAAUUUAGGUACUUUCCCCUAAAACAUAAAAGUAAAUUAAAAAAUUGAACUGCCAAAUGUAUGUUUAUCUCCCCAUAUUAAUGAACCGGAUACUUACCGUGUUAGGCCUCUCAUUACAGGAUCUUUUCAUGACGCCAGAGAAAAUAAAUGCUUCGUGAAAAUCUUUGGUAUAUAUUUCUUUGACUGCGUUACAAUGGAAGGUCCAUUUAUAGGAUCCUUGUUAACUAUUUUAUAUACUAAGAACCAGUUAAAAUUACCUAUUCCGAAAAUUAUGAUUGAAAAUUUUCAUGCAAGGCGCUCAGAACAGUGGCCUAAGGCACAACCCAUAAUUUUACUAAAACGCUUUUAUUACAUUAAAGUUAUCCCUUGUUAUGUAUUUUCAGAUGCAGAAUGGCUCAAUCAUUGGUUGCUUGAAUGACUCCGUAUCUGAAAAUACUUUAUGGAUAACUUUAUGUAAUAAAAGCGUUUUGGUAAAAUUGUGGAUUGUGGUUAGGCCACUGUUGCUCCGAGCGCCUCAUUUAAGAAAAGGUCAUUCAAACUGAUUGAACUUAACAAAUGGCACACCACACUGACUAGAUAAUAACUAUAUUUGGUCACUUAAACUAAAUAAUUUAAAAAAUCUUAGUGACCAUUAUUCCCUAUCUUUAGUAAAUUUUGAAAUCUUAUUUAAAGCUAUUUACAAUUCUUAACUUUGUAGUGACUAGUUCAGAGACAUCUCGCAAAUGUAGCAUCUGUUCUCCCCGAAUAAUUUUAAGAAAAAUAAAAUGAUACAGAAUACAGUUCAUUGCUGCCAUGAUUUUUGGGCCGAUCGCAAAUGGCUGGUAAAUUUCAAUGUAUUUGCUCAACACUCACAUUGUACACACUCAGCAAAUCAAAAAUAUCAUAAAUUGGAAAAAGAACCCAAAAAAAUGGUGAAGAUUUCUAUAAAUCGAAUUACAUACAGUUCCUGGAACGAAUCAUGGCCUGUGACAAACGCUGUCGUCGGUCGUACACCCACCUAAACUUUAGCCAGAUGAUUUCUCUCGGUUGUGAUUCGCUAAAGGAGCUGUAAUUGGAAAGACUCCAAAAAAUGAGAAAAA
rnacentral:lncRNA from 1 species